UACGGGGGGGGCAAGCGUUGUUCGGAAUUACUGGGCGUAAAGGGCUCGUAGGUGGCCAACUAAGUCAGACGUGAAAUCCCUCGGCUUAACCGGGGAACUGCGUCUGAUACUGGAUGGCUUGAAUCCGGGAGAGGGAUGCGGAAUUCCAGGUGUAGCGGUGAAAUGCGUAGAUAUCUGGAGGAACACCGGUGGCGAAGGCGGCAUCCUGGACCGGCAUUGACGCUGAGGAGCGAAGGCCAGGGGAGCAAACGGG
rnacentral:rRNA from 1 species